rnacentral:tRNA from 1 species
GGCCCAGUGGCUCAGUUGGUUAGAGCGUCGCCCUGUCACGGCGAAGGUCACGGGUUCGAGUCCCGUUUGGGUCG